rnacentral:rRNA from 1 species
UGGGGAAUCUUGCACAAUGGGGGCAACCCUGAUGCAGCGACGCCGCGUGAGCGAUGAAGCCCUUCGGGGCGUAAAGCUCUUUCGACCGGAACGAUAAUGACGGUACCGGGAGAAGAAGCUGCGGCUAACUACGUGCCAGCAGCCGCGGUAAUACGUAGGCAGCAAGCGUUGUUCGGAGUUACUGGGCGUAAAGAGUGCGUAGGCCGUCUUUUAAGUCGGACGUGAAAGCCCUCGGCUCAACCGGGGAACUGCGUUCGAUACUGGGAGACUUGAGUCCUGGAGAGGGUGGCGGAAUUCCAGGUGUAGCAGUGAAAUGCGUAGAUAUCUGGAAGAACACCAGUGGCGAAGGCGGUCAACUGGCCCACAACUGACGCUCAUGCACGAAAGCGUGGGGAGCAAACA